ensembl:snRNA U6 U6 spliceosomal RNA
GUGCUCACUUCGGCAGCACAUAUACUAAAAUUGGAAUGAUACAGAGAAGAUUAGCAUGGCCCCUGUGCAAGGAUGGCAUGCAAAUUCAUGAAGCAUUCAUAUUUUUU